GGACAAUAGCUCAGGGGUAGAGCAUCUGCCUUGCAUGUAGAAGGUCUCAGGUUCAAUCCCCAGCAUCUCCA